GAUGAACGCUGGCGGCGUGCCUAAUACAUGCAAGUCGAGCGAACGGACGAGAAGCUUGCUUCUCUGAUGUUAGCGGCGGACGGGUAAGUAACACGUGGAUAACCUACCUAUAAGACUGGGAUAACUUCGGGAAACCGGAGCUAAUACCGGAUAAUAUUUUGAACCGCAUGGUUCAAAAGUGAAAGACGGUCUUGCUGUCACUUAUAGAUGGAUCCGCGCUGCAUUAGCUAGUUGGUAAGGUAACGGCUUACCAAGGCAACGAUGCAUAGCCGACCUGAGAGGGUGAUCGGCCACACUGGAACUGAGACACGGUCCAGACUCCUACGGGAGGCAGCAGUAGGGAAUCUUCCGCAAUGGGCGAAAGCCUGACGGAGCAACGCCGCGUGAGUGAUGAAGGUCUUCGGAUCGUAAAACUCUGUUAUUAGGGAAGAACAUAUGUAUAAGUAACUGUGCACAUCUUGACGGUACCUAAUCAGAAAGCCACGGCUAACUACGUG
rnacentral:rRNA from 1 species